GCUUCUUUCCCAGCAUCAUGUGGCACGGUUGGUUCAAGGGUUUGAUGCAAAUUUACUACAAGCACUAGUUCAAUUAACAUUCCAUCAACUAGUUUGUUCUGAGGAAGGUGAUCGCAUUGCUACAAUGCUAAUAUCUGCACUAAUGGAGUAUUAUACUGGUCCUGAUGGCAGAGGAACGGUAGAUGAUAUAAGUGGGAGAUUACGGGAGGGAUGUCCAAGCUAUUUCAAGGAGUCAGAUUACAAGUUUUUCUUGGCUGUGGAAUGUCUUGAAAGAGCUGCUGUAACUUCAGACCUUGUGGAGAAGGAGAAUCUUGCUAGAGAGGCCUUCAAUUUUUUAAGUAAAGUUCCAGAGUCUGCAGAUUUAAGAACUGUUUGC
rnacentral:misc_RNA from 1 species